rnacentral:rRNA from 1 species
CAAGUCGAACGCGAGGACCCCCGCAAGGGGGUUAGUAGAGUGGCAAACGGGUGAGUAACACGUGGGUGACCUACCUUCGAGUGGGGGAUAACGUUCCGAAAGGAGCGCUAAUACCGCAUGACAUCCUGCUUUUGGAAAAGCGGACAUUAAAGCCGGGGAUCGCAACACCUGGCGCUUGAAGAGGGGCCCGCGUCUGAUUAGCUAGUUGGUGGGGUAACGGCUCACCAAGGCGACGAUCAGUAGCCGGCCUGAGAGGGCGGACGGCCACACUGGGACUGAGACACGGCCCAGACUCCUACGGGAGGCAGCAGUGGGGAAUUGUUCGCAAUGGGCGCAAGCCUGACGACGCAACGCCGCGUGGAGGACGAAGAUCUUCGGGUCGUAAACUCCUUUCGAUCGGGAAGAACGGCUUCGGGGCUAACAUCCCUGGAGAGUGACGGUACCGAGAGAAGAAGCCCCGGCUAACUCCGUGCCAGCAGCCGCGGUAAUACGGGGGGGGCAAGCGUUGUUCGGAAUUACUGGGCGUAAAGGGCUCGUAGGCGGCCAACUAAGUCGGAUGUGAAAUCCCCAGGCUUAACCUGGGAACUGCAUCCGAUACUGGAUGGCUUGAAUCCGGGAGAGGGAUGCGGAAUUCCAGGUGUAGCGGUGAAAUGCGUAGAUAUCUGGAGGAACACCGGUGGCGAAGGCGGCAUCCUGGACCGGCAUUGACGC